rnacentral:tRNA from 2 species
GGUUGAAUGGCGAAGUGAUUAACGCAACGGUCUGCAAAACCGUUAUUCGUGGGUUUGAAUCCCACUUCAACCUCA